rnacentral:rRNA from 1 species
UACGUAUAAGACUAGUGUUAGUCAUCUUUAUUAGGUUUAAAGGGUACCUAGACGGUAAAUAAAACUGAAAAACAGUGUUUUUUACUAGAGUUUUAUAAGAGAAGGGAGAAUUUCUGGAGUAGUGAUAAUAUACUAUAAUACUAGAGAGACUGGUAACGGCGAAGGCACCCUUCUAUGUAAAAACUGACGUUGAGGGACGAAGGCUUGGGUAUCAAUAAGG